rnacentral:rRNA from 2 species
UCGCGGCCCCUAACAGCUUGUUGGUGGGGUAAUGGCCUACCAAGGCGACGACGGGUAGCCGGCCUGAGAGGGCGACCGGCCACACUGGGACUGAGACACGGCCCAGACUCCUACGGGAGGCAGCAGUGGGGAAUAUUGCACAAUGGGCGAAAGCCUGAUGCAGCGACGCCGCGUGAGGGAUGACGGCCUUCGGGUUGUAAACCUCUUUCAGCAGGGAAGAAGCGAAAGUGACGGUACCUGCAGAAGAAGCGCCGGCUAACUACGUGCCAGCAGCCGCGGUAAUACGUAGGGCGCAAGCGUUGUCCGGAAUUAUUGGGCGUAAAGAGCUCGUAGGCGGCUUGUCACGUCGGAUGUGAAAGCCCGGGGCUUAACCCCGGGUCUGCAUUCGAUACGGGCUAGCUAGAGUGUGGUAGGGGAGAUCGGAAUUCCUGGUGUAGCGGUGAAAUGCGCAGAUAUCAGGAGGAACACCGGUGGCGAAGGCGGAUCUCUGGGCCAUUACUGACGCUGAGGAGCGAAAGCGUGGGGAGCGAACAGGAUUAGAUACCCUGGUAGUCCACGCCGUAAACGUUGGGAACUAGGUGUUGGCGACAUCCACGUCUCGGCCGAGCUGCAGUCACC